rnacentral:lncRNA from 1 species
CCUCUGUCCUCAGACCCCUCUGUCCUCAGACCCUCUGUCCUCAGACCCUCUGUCCUCAGACCCUCUGUCCUUACACCCUCUGUCCUCAGACCCUCUGUCCUCAGACCCUCUGUCCUUACACCCUCUGUCCUUACAGGACCCUCUGUCCUCAGACCCUCUGUCCUCAGACCCUCUGUCCUACAACCCUCUGUCCUUACACCCUC